rnacentral:rRNA from 1 species
UACGAAGGGGGCUAGCGUUGCUCGGAAUCACUGGGCGUAAAGGGUGCGUAGGCGGGUUUUUAAGUCAGAGGUGAAAUCCUGGAGCUCAACUCCAGAACUGCCUUUGAUACUGGAAGUCUUGAGUAUGGGAGAGGUGAGUGGAACUGCGAGUGUAGAGGUGAAAUUCGUAGAUAUUCGCAAGAACACCAGUGGCGAAGGCGGCUCACUGGCCCAUUACUGACGCUGAGGUGCGAAAGCGUGGGGAGCAAACAGG